UACGGAGAGGACAAGCGUUAUUCGUCGUCACUGGGCGUAAAGGGUGCGUAGGUGGUAUUUUAAGUUUUAAAUAAAAAAUUAAAUAAAGAUUUAAUAUAUUUUUAAUACUAAAUUACUAGAGUAAUAUAGAAAAUAAUUGUAUUUUAAGUGUAAAAGUGAAAAUUUUAAAUAUUUAAAAGACAAACAAUAGGUGAAAACUAUUAUUUAUAUAUUAACUGACAUUGAGGCACAAAAGCAUAGGUAGCAAAUGGG
rnacentral:rRNA from 1 species